rnacentral:rRNA from 1 species
AUUGAACGCUGGCGGCAGGCCUAACACAUGCAAGUCGAACGGUAACAGGAAGCAGCUUGCUGCUUUGCUGACGAGUGGCGGACGGGUGAGUAAUGUCUGGGAAACUGCCUGAUGGAGGGGGAUAACUACUGGAAACGGUAGCUAAUACCGCAUAACGUCGCAAGACCAAAGAGGGGGACCUUCGGGCCUCUUGCCAUCGGAUGUGCCCAGAUGGGAUUAGCUAGUAGGUGGGGUAACGGCUCACCUAGGCGACGAUCCCUAGCUGGUCUGAGAGGAUGACCAGCCACACUGGAACUGAGGCACGGUCCAGACUCCUACGGGAGGCAGCAGUGGGGAAUAUUGCACGAUGGGCGCAAGCCUGAUGCAGCCAUGCCGCGUGUAUGAAGAAGGCCUUCGGGUUGUAAAGUACGUUCAGCGGGGAGGAAGGGAGUAAAGUUAAUACCUUUGCUCAUUGACGUUACCCGCAGAAGAAGCACCGGCUAACUCCGUG